rnacentral:tRNA from 1 species
GCGCUCAUAGCUCAGCUGGAUAGAGCACUUGGCUACGAACUAAGGGGUCGGGAGUUCGAAUCUCUCUGAGCGAA